UUCUCCUUCUUAAUCUGGAGAUAGGAAAGGUACAAAGAGAAGUGAAACAAAUAAGAUAAAUAUAAUUACAGUUAUAUUCCUCAAAAGAAAUACAGACUGUGGAUUCUUGUAAUAUUUACUAGAUGUAGACUGUGGCUCUGCCUCAUUCUAUCUUCACUUCUGGUGACAAGGCUAACGGCGAAGUUUCCUACCGGAAGUACAGGAAGUACUGCUGGCAAAGAGAAGUUUCCUACCGGAAGUACCGGAAGUACUGUUGACAAGGCUAAUGGAGAAGUUUCCUACCGGAAGUACCGGAAGUACUGUUGGCAAAGAGAAGAGAAAACAUUAGUAAACCAUGUGCUAGUUGUUGAAGCUUCUCCUCGGUGUUUAUCAAAAAUUCACUUCAAACUUCAUCAUAGAUGACCCCUGUCAUUUGGCUGGUAAGUCAUAAAUCUUAUUGUCUGUUGACUUACUUUAUUCUUUCCAAUUUCAAUGCAUAAAUAGAGACUCCCCAUUAUUUUUACCAAGAUUUAAUAAAAUAGCCUCCUAACUAGUUUACAUGCUUGAAAGAAUCUUGGUUUCAGACAUCUUUUACAAAGUAAAUAUGUUUUUCUGUUUUCUGUCAGUAUAACAAGAUCCCUCAAACUGGAUGAGUUAUAAAGAAUAGAAGAUUAUUCUGGUUAUGGUUGUGAAGAUGACAAAGUUGAAGAACAUGAGGCCCAUCUCGGCUAGGUUUCUGGUGAGUAUGUUGUAGGACAUGCAGGAGCAAGAAGUUUGAUGGCAAAGAGAUAAAAUAUGGGGAACAGCCCGGCUUUAUAACAACCCACUCUUACAGUCACUAAUUCAGGCAUAAGAAAACCACUAAUCCCUCUUAAUGACUUAAUAGCCUCUUAAAUGUCCUAUCUCUCAACCCAGCACAAAGGAGAUCAAAUUUGAAUUCCAGUUGAGGCGACAAACCAUAUUCAAACUAUAGAAGUAACAAUAGUUAUUAGUUUUAAGUCAUUAACAUAUAUUGCUUUCUAGCUAAAAAAGAACUUUCAUGUGUCAUUAACAGAUAUGCAACCAAAGACAAUGUUGGUAGCUGAGGGCACUAUGAAUUAAAAAAUGACAAUUGGUCUUAGUAACAAUCAGCAAGACUAAAGACAAACCUUGAGAAUAACUAGUCUGCAGUUUUCCCAUCAGAAGAAAAACAAUGCCCUAACCAGGACAUAGACAAAACCACACCAGCACUGCAAACAUGACUAAAUUCUGCCUCUCCUGACCAACAUAAGUGAUUGCGCCUGUUCUUGUUUUCUUUUUUGACAUUGAAUAUUGAACUCAGGACCUCGUGCUUGCCAGGCAAGCACUGAGCUAUAUUUCCAGACUGGAAGCUAUAUUUCCAGCUCCUUUUCUACUGCAGUUCUCACCCUGAUUUAAUCUUUCCAAUUCUGUCACACAUUUAUUGACCCAGUUCCAGACUAGCCUCUGCCACUUGACAAUGUCCAACUUAGGAUUGAUUCUGGCUUCUUUGAUUCCUCCUUAUUAUCACUGAAUGUGAUUUCCAGACUCAGAAACGUCCCUCCUGAAUCCCUCUACACAAUCUUUUCAAGUUUCUUCUUGGAUGCAUUCAUCAUUACUGGAGCCAAACAAACAAACCUAUGUUUGAUAACAAGGAAUGACCUUGGUGAAGUUUGUUGAACCUGUAUGUGACGCACUAAGAUCUCUUCCAUUGCACAUUAUAAUACUUUUCCAUUCCAGUACAUUUCCCUGUUCUACAAGGAAAAUUAUUGACCUUCACGAGAAAUAUCAUUGAUUAGGAAACAUUGUUUGUGGAUAUUGUCUGGAGUUAGACAAGACAGCAGGUUAGAAGAUGUAGAGAAAUAAUAAAGAAGGUAUCUAAGAUACUUUGUUCUCCACCCAAAAUCUACCCUUCUAUCCUCUGGUACUACAUUUUAAGACAUAUGCACACCAAAAAUGUGCCCUUCCCUGAAACAAAUAAAAUACUUUCUUGGCAUUUGAUAGUGCUUUGUAC
ensembl:lincRNA